CUGUCGCAAAAGUAGUGCGAGUUCUUCCGUCACUGACUGCGCCCUAGGAGGAGUAAUGCGUGCUGGAGAACGUAGUCCCCCAGGUUCCCGUUUGUCCUAUCCCGCCUCACUUUCGUGAAGAGAACUUUCCCAUCUAUUUCUGCCUGUUGAAGAAGGGACUCCUUACAGAGAGGCUCAGACCAUGCUGUCCACAGUCCAAGGCUGCCCUAGAUGAGCAAACUGAGACACAGAGAGGCUAAAGAGCUU